rnacentral:misc_RNA from 1 species
GCAAACUUGGUCAUUUAGAGGAAGUAAAAGUCGUAACAAGGUCUCCGUUGGUGAACCAGCGGAGGGAUCAUUACAGAGUUGCAAAACUCCCAAACCCAACCGUCUAUUUAUCUCGAAAAGCGUCUGCUUCGGCGGGCGGCCCCAGGGCGGGGCCGCUGCCUGCGCUUCAGCGCGGGCGCCCGCCGGGAGGCGAACCACUUAAACUCUUGCUGUUUUCAGUAAAACUCUGAGCACAAAGACAAAUAGUCAAAACUUUCAACAACGGAUCUCUUGGUUCUGGCAUCGAUGAAGAACGCAGC